UACGGGGGGGCAAGCGUUGUUCGGAAUUACUGGGCGUAAAGGGCUCGUAGGCGGCCAACUAAGUCAGACGUGAAAUCCCCAGGCUCAACCUGGGAACUGCGUCUGAUACUGGUUGGCUUGAAUCCGGGAGAGGGAUGCAGAAUUCCAGGUGUAGCGGUGAAAUGCGUAGAUAUCUGGAGGAAUACCGGUGGCGAAGGCGGCAUCCUGGACCGGCAUUGACGCUGAGGAGCGGAAAGCUAGGGGAGCAAACGGGG
rnacentral:rRNA from 1 species